rnacentral:rRNA from 1 species
GCUACAGUAGCAGCGAGUGAACAGGGAGGAGCCCACCGCCGAAUCCUUGUCUCGUGCAGGGAAAUGUGGCGUUUGGGCGAGUCGGGAGUGUGGACCUAGCGUGUGCGUGAAAUCCCCACAAUCGGAGCAUUUUCCUCAGAGGGUGUGAGGCCCAUCCUCACGUGCCGUGGUUCUCUCUUGGUUCGCCCGCGAGUACGGUUGCUUGGGAGUGCAGCCCUAAGACGGGUGGUAAACUCCACCGAAGGCUAAAUGAGACCGAUAGCAAACAAGUACCGUGAGGGAAAGUUGAAAAGAACUUUGAAGGGAGUUCAAUAGAACGUGAAACUGCUCAGAGGGAAACGGGUGGGCCCUCGAAGUCCAGUGUCGCAGGCGUUCCGCCCCGGUGUCGUCCUCUUCCGCCGACGCGAGUGAAGGAGCGCCUCUCACGUGGGGGCACCGUCCUCGCCCCCAGGAGGUGGUUCGGCCCGGGUGCACUCGUCCCCUUCCAGAGGACGCCCCAUCCCGUUCGUUUUUUUUUGUGGGCCGUGAGGGCGGAUACUUGUAUGUGGACUCCGAAUGAGGAUGUUCCGAUCUCAUCCACCUGGGUCCACUGCGGACGGUGGCUUCCGACUCGUCGCCUCCUAUUUGGUUUCUUGGCGGUGCAGGUGGGUUCUUGGGUAGACGUGCGCACGCUCUCUGGGCGUAGCCGGUGGCUCGCCUCGCACGCGCCGCUUUUAAUUUUUUUUCUUUGGGGGUCGACGGUGUUGCGGCGCAGUAGGUCGGUGCCCUACCCGUCUUGAAACACGAACCAAGGAGUCUAAUAUGUGCGCGAGUCACCGGGUCUCCAAGAAGCCCACGGGCGCAAAGAACUUUAAUGUCGGGAUCCCCCACUUUCACGUGAGGGGCGCACCGAUGGCCUGCCACCGUCUCAGGACGUGAGGCGGAGCCUGAGCACACACGUUGGGACCCGAAAGAUGGUGAACUAUGCCUAGACAGGGGAAACCCUGUUGGAAGUCCGAAACGGUUCUGACGUGCAAAUCGAUCGUCUGAUCCGCGUAUAGGGGCGAAAGACUAAUCAAACCAUCUAGUAGCUGGUUCCCUCAGGAUAGCUGGCGCUCGAUCGAAAUUCAGUCACGAUCGGUAAAGCGAAUGAUUAGAGGCCUUGGGUCCGAAACAACCUCAACCUAUUCUCAUACUUUCAAUGGUCGUAGAGUCCUCCUUUCUCGACGUGAAGGUUGGACGGUGGAUGAGAGUGGCUAGUGGGCCACUUUUGGUAAGCAGAACUGGCGCUGUGGGAUGAACCAAAUGCCGGGUUAAGGCGCCCGAUGCAGAGACGCUUAUGAGACACCAUAAAAGGUGUUGGUUGCUCUAGACAGCAGGAUGGUGGCCAUGGAAGUCGGCAUCCACUAAGGAGUGUGUAACAACUCGCCUGCCACAGCAACUAGCCUUGAAAAUGGAUGGCGUUCCAGCGUGGAGCCCAUACCCGGCCGGUUCUCCAUAAGUUUUAUUUUUAUUGGAGAACGGAGUAGGAGGGUCGUGGUGGGGGCGUGGAAGGUCUUUGCGCGAGCCUGCCUGGAGCCUCCGCCGGUGCAGAUCUUGGUGGUAGUAGCAAAUACUCCAGUGAGGACUGAAGUUGGAGAAGGGUUCCAUGUCAACAGCGUUUGCACAUGGGUGAGUCGGUCCUUAGCCAACGGAGAGAUCCGUGCUAGGCGAGACUUUACGAGUCACGCUAUGGACGAAAGGUGAUCGGGUUAAGAUACCCGGACACGAAAUAAAUGAGACCUCGGUCUCUAGUGCGGUAACGCAAACGAACUCGGAGACGCCCGUGGAGGCACCAGGGAAGAGAUUGUUUCUUUUUUUCGUAAGAGGUGCGAAGUCCCUGGAAAGGUGUCAAGCCGAGAUAGGGACAGGCGGCCUCGAAAGAGCACCUUGUUUCACGUGUUGUGCGUGGGACCCCUUUACGGUCCCUUGCAAAUCCGAGGGAGAGUCUAUGAUUUUCGUGCCAGGCCGUACCUAUAUCCGCAUCAGGUCUCCCAGGUGAACAGCCUCUAGUCACUAGAACAAUGUAGAUAAGGGAAGUCGGCAAAUUCGAUCCGUAACUUCGGGAUUGGCUCUGGGGUGCCCGUUCGUCGGGCUGUGUCUCCGAAGCC